CCUACGGGUGGCUGCAGUGAGGAAUAUUGGUCAAUGGGCGGAAGCCUGAACCAGCCAAGUAGCGUGCAGGAUGACGGCCCUACGGGUUGUAAACUGCUUUUAUACGGGAAUAACGCGCCUUACGUGUAGGGCUUGCAUGGACCGUAGGAAUAAGGACCGGCUAAUUCCGGGCCAGCAGCCGGGGUAAUACGGAAGGUCCGGGCGUUAUCCGGAUUUAUUGGGGUUCAAGGGAGCGUAGGCCGCAUGUCAAGCGUGCUGGGAAAUGUCCGGGCUCAACCCGGGCCUUGCAGCGCGAACUGGCGUGCUUGUGUCCGCGGCAAGCAGGCGGAAUUCGUCGUGUAGCUGU
rnacentral:rRNA from 1 species